CCUGGCCCAAGUUCUGUGGUACACUCAGACUCUAGAUCAGUGGCAGUCAGUGCAUAACAGAACUUUGGUCCGGA
rnacentral:pre_miRNA from 1 species